rnacentral:rRNA from 1 species
AGCGAACGUUUGCGGCGGGCUUAACACAUGCAAGUCGAACGAGAAUCCCUUCGGGGAGGAAAGUGGCGCAUGGGUGCGUAACACGUGGAUAACCAACCCAUUGGUUUGGGACAACACCGGGAAACUGGUGCUAAUACCAGAUGUGUCGCAGCUGUCUUCAGGCAGUUGCGAGAAAGGCCCGCAAGGGUCGCCAACGGACGGGUCCGCGUCCCAUCAGCUAGUUGGUGAGGUAAUGGCUCACCAAGGCAAAGACGGGUAGCUGGUCUGAGAGGAUGAUCAGCCACACUGGAACUGAGACACGGUCCAGACUCCUACGGGAGGCAGCAGUGGGGAAUAUUGCGCAAUGGGCGAAAGCCUGACGCAGCCACGCCGCGUGAGCGAUGAAGGUCUUCGGAUCGUAAAGCUCUGUGGGGGGAGAAGAGGAAAGCCGGUGAAGAGCCGGCCCUGACGGUAUCCCCUUAGCAAGCACCGGCUAACUCCGUGCCAGCAGCCGACGG